rnacentral:tRNA from 1 species
GGAGAAGUGUCUGAGUGGUCUAAAGAGCUCGAUUGCUAAUUGAGUGUAUUAAAAGAAAUACCGAGGGUUCAAAUCCCUUCUUCUCCU